rnacentral:tRNA from 1 species
GUGGUGUAGUGAUAAUCACAUCCGCUUAACGCGGAAGGUUCCAGGUUCGAGCCCUGGUAGCCU